GACGAACGCUGGCGGCGUGGAUUAGGCAUGCAAGUCGAACGGUAUCAUCCUUUCGGGGGUGAGAGAGUGGCGAACUGGUGAGUAACACGUAGGUUAUCUACCCUCAAGACGGGGACAACCCAGGGAAACUUGGGCUAAUACCGGAUGUGAGCAACUUUUUAGUUGUUUGAAAGGUGGCGUAAGCUGUCGCUUGGGGAUGAGCCUGCGUCCUAUUAGUUAGUUGGUGAGGUAACGGCUCACCUAGGCAAUGAUAGGUAGGCGGCCUUAACGGGUGGUCGCCCACACUGGGAUUGAGUAAAACGGCCCAGACUCCUACGGGAGGCAGCAGUCGAGAAUAGUCUACAAUGGUCGGAAGACUGAUAGUGCGACGCCGCGUGAACGAUGAAUCCCUUCGGGUGUAAAGUUCUUUUAUAUGUGAGCAGUGCUUCUUAUAUUAACAGUAUGGGGAGAGAGAUAUUAGCAUAUGAAUAAGCAACGGCUAACUCCGUGCCAGCAGCCGCGGUAAACUCGU
rnacentral:rRNA from 1 species